UACAGAGGUCUCGAGCGUUAGGCGGAAUCACUGGGCUUAAAGCGUGUGUAGGCGGAUUGCUAAGUACCUUGUGAAAUCCCACGGCUUAACCGUGGAACUGCUUGGUAUACUGGCUGUCUUGAGCCACUUAGGGGCGACCGGAACAAACGGUGGAGCGGAUGAAAUGCGUAGAUGAUCGGGACGGAACACCGGUGGUCGAAGGCGGGUUCUCUGGGCCUUACCUGACGCUGGAGGAGCGAAAGCGUGGGGAGCGAACAGG
rnacentral:rRNA from 1 species